AAUCACUGGUGACUAGCUAGAUUGCUUUAAAUUGUGUACUGAUGUGAUACUAGGCGGAGGCUAUUCAGGCAUGGCGAGUGAAUAGUUAUAAAAGAAGAAUAGUCUAACCACAGGACAGAUGGUGGGCUAGGGUCACGAGACGUUAUUCCUGAAACAUCGGAUAUCAUUUUUCCCUUCGCCCACAGACGACGAGAGGCAGUAUCUGUAUAUAAAUUUAGUAAUCUCCCACUAUUAUUAUACUGAUCGUUACUUUGAGACGUGUUAGAUGAACAUAGGACAUUUUUGAUGAUUUGUGUCGAAGUUUUUUCCCGAACAGAAGAAGAGCAGCCAAUGAAGAUAAAGCAAAGUUACAGAUUUACAAGAGCGCAACUGAUCGCCAUAAUGUCACUCAAAGAAGAGUCGUCUAAAAGCAUAAUGACUGCUAUUCUGAUGUGCACUACUUUGAUUGUCUGUAUCGGGACCUGUUCACUGUGCGUCGCUUUAUCUCUCCGCGUUUCAAGCUUAGAGGAGCAACUGGCUUCAAAGAUUACUACGCCAAACAUGACGUCACGUAUCUACGAUCGAAAGAAUAAAACUAUUUCCUGUCAGCCAUGUUCCGCCUUAAGCUUGGGUCCUUUUCUGGAGGAUGAGCCUGAAUUGAAAUCGUUCCUCAGGUUUAUCGAGGACGGCGUUCUUAUUUGUUGCUCCAGGACUUCAGAGGAAAACGGCAAAUUGAUCAAACUGCUUGUAAAACGCCAAAUCGCCAUAGAAACGGCAAA